CGGGGGGGGGGGGGGGGGCGCGGGGCUUCGAGCCGGGAUUCCAGGCCGGUCAGCUGGAGCCGGGCGCGACCACCGGGGCGGCAGCGCAGGGGAGGCCGCGGCAGGGGGGACGGCCGCGCCCUACCGUCCGGGCCCGCUCCGAGGCGGCGCUGUCUGCGGCGGCCCCUCCCGCCCGCCGCCUCCUGUGGCGACCCAGCUGAGGCUGCGAGGCGCGCCCGCCCUCCUGCACCGCUCGGCCCGUGACUCAACAAUGCGCCCCCCCGCUGCGCCGGCACCUCGCCUCCCCCCGUCCUGAGCGGAAUGGUUUCACCGAGCCGCCGGAUCAGCUGGGAGCGGCUUGUACCAAAGCUCAGCCGCGGGGGGGUGGGGGGGCACAGGAUUGAGAAGGGGCUGGAACUCGGACAGAAACAAGUUUGGAAGGCGCCUACAGACUCGAGAAGUGCCCCAAGUGUCCUGGCUGCAAAGUGCUGCAUACAGCACUUGUCCUGUUUUCUCAGAAACCUUGGAGUUGUUUCUCUCUGCAAUGCUAUUGUCAGAUUUGAGUAGGAAGAAAAGCACUGAAUCAAGAUAAUCAAUAUCAAGAAAACCUGAAUAUCUGAGCAAAUUCCAAGCAAUGAAGUCCUGGAGAUUUCCAAUCACAGCUGUACAAGUAGUCAGUCUUGUCAGCUGGUGGUGAAAGGAUCCAUUUACCUUCGUGACAAUUAGAAAAAAAAACAUGCAAGUGAAGAAAGACAAAUUUAUUUCUAAGGUAAAGGAGCAUCAAAAGUUUGAAGGUGGUAUCCAGUGCUGACGUGUUCCUGCAGCUCCAAGCAGAAAGUUGCAAAGGUUGCUGUUUGUGUUGGUGCUCUUACCUUAUGUUUCUGAAAUCUUUUUCCACUAUGGUCAGAGAACCAGCAAUUUUCACCAACACUUUGUGAUGAAUAGGCUAGCAGAGGGAAGAGUGGGUGAGGGCAAUAAAUAUUACAGAUUUCAUUCUUGUUAUCCUCACUGGAACUCCCUCUGAAACCUUACCUCUCUUUGUCUUAUGAACAAUGCCUGUGUCCACGGUGUACAAGCUCUCCUCUCCCACCAUCCUUUAGUAACUCAACAUCUGUAGACUGGAGCUGAGGAUUCACUACCAAAUAGAUAGCGGAGCUAAAAAUGAGCACAAAGGUGAUCUGAACUAAAUCUUUUAAAGCUUUCAGACCAUGGUGCUUUGAUUAGCAAGCAGACAAGAAAGCUCCGUACCCUCACAACCUCAUCCUGCAACUAACUGCUCUUCUAGGCCAGGAGUCUUACAUGAGCAGAAAUUGGGAAGAUUGUUAUCCCUUAUCUCUCAUCAAACUUUGUCAUCAGUUUUGAAUGUGACAUUUAGUAAUGUAGCAACGGUAGAGCAUAAAGGAAAUUAAAAAAAAGGAAAAGAGGAAAAAACCCUCUCAGACUCCACAUAAGAAUAGCUUCUGCCAUUUCCCUUUUGUAUCCACUGCUGAGGUAUUUGAAAAGAGCAGGAGAUAAGUAGCCUUAUGACUAUGACAGAUCAGCAGGCUCUGAGGUACCAAAUGCGGAUUGCUACUGCUGGCACUAUAAUGGCUAUUGAAAUUCAUAUUUACACAGACAUUUCCACGGUGGCACUGCAAAGAGGGAGAUGUAGAGUAGGCUAUGGACCAUAAAUGAUGCAACCAUGCUACGUAACACCAAGAGCAAAAACCCUGUCACUGCUAAGUGACACUGACCAGUUCCUGCCAUUUGGAGAUCUUCUCUGUCUUCAGAUUAUGGAUCUUCCUCAGAGACAAAGGACAUGCUUCAGCUUGGAAAGUUCCUGCCAGAGGCAUUCUGCAGAGAAGUGAACGGAUGUCCCUGAUGUUCAACAGAGUGACAAACUGCUACAAGGUGUCUGCUAUGCUGCCAUGUUCUCCAAGGCAGCUCAGGGGCUCACCUCUGCAUGGUGAGCCAGUGGAGGCAGCUCAGGGGCACAAAGCUCUGGAAUGUGAGAGACUCAGAAACAGCUGCAUCAGGGUUGCAUGAGGACAAGGGCAUUACUAAUUCUCAGACACAAUCUGUGAUGAAAAUCAUGAAGCAUUCUGCAGGUGAAUUCAGUUCUCCCGAUUUCUGGACUUGUGAGAUACAGGGCUGAAAACAAAGACGUUCAAACCUUGAGCUAAAUAGAAGAGGAAGAAGCCAAAAUCUGUGCCAGAGGUUUGACUGCUGGGUUUACUCAUAGCUUCAGGUCACUUUCACGGGGCUUGGUCUGCUGGGGGGAUUUUCUGAGAAGCAUUUGAAUGGCUGAAGACCUACAGUGCUGACCCCCGACCUGAGCAAGGUUUGCUGCUUGCAGUAUUCCUGGAAUGACACAGGAGCUCCUGCUGGAGUCAGGCCAGGACAUUAAACAAAGCUGAUUUUGAGGGCAAGAGGACAGAUCUCCUGCAAAGAGAUACUGAUCACUCUGCAGCAUUUGACUCUGUUGACCGUGAAUCCUUGCUGGGCCCCAUGAGGAGAGGGGCUGCCAUCUGGAGUGAAUGAUUUGGUGGGACAAAGCUGUUUUGGAGCAAUGUGAACAUAUGCCCCAUGGCUAAUUGUGGUGCUGUCCCACAGGGACCAAUGCUUUUCCCUUUUCUGCUGACCUACCUGAGCACAAAGUCACUGUCCCUGGAAGUGUUCCAGAGCUGUGUGGAUGUGGCACUGAGGGACAUAGUGGGCAUGGUGGGGGUGGAUUGAUAGUUGGAUGAAAUGAUCUUAGAAGUCUUUUCCAACCUUAAUGAUUGUGUGAUUCUAAGGUGUGGGAAACAGUGAUUUUCCCCAACCACUUCAAGAGCAUAAUGUCAUUGUGCCAUACCCUCUCCUCAAGCUUUAAGAGGACACAUAGUCAAAUGCAAAUUUCUAGUCUGCGAAAGUUUUAGUAGUCUUGACCGAAGUAUCUUUAAGACUUCACCUUAUCAGCAUUUUCUGAAUUAUGAGGGAGUCUCUCCAUGUCCCACUGCAGCAAAAGGUAAGAUGGGGAAAAGGCAGCUCUCUGGUAUCCUUCUCCAGCACUCAGUGUAAGCAUUGGUUAGCUGCAAUCUAAAGUGUGCAAAAAAGACUCCUCAUCUGGGAUAGCUAGAACUUGCCUUUCAGAGAUGCCCAGCAUCUUCAAAUUGCUUUGUACUUCUCAGGAGUGGGGGAUGUUCAGUGCCUCUGGAAAAUAGGUCCUUUGUGACUGGAGCAAGGUAGCACCGUGUUUCAUCCUCUGUGUUGCAACUGGCCUUAAGGGUUUUCAGCCUUCCCAUCCCACAUGCUGGCCUCAGAGUGGCUGGCAGGAUGGUGUGGUUACUGAUGCAAUGCAUAAUCUUUCUUUUCUCCCCCCUCUAUGUAAUUCUCAUCUUCAAUGUUAUGUAUGUUUAAGCCAUACACUUCUAGAAAGGAGUGUUAAAAAACUCAACUAAAUUCAGAAUAGAGAGAUGAAAAGAAGCAUUCUGUGGCUUUGGCAAAGCUGGCGGUACUAAGGGGAGAGACAAUCCCAGGCAUUCUUUGCUAUUGAAGUUAAUUGCAGGCAUCUAGGGUUUAAAGACCUUGUGUUAUUGAUGGGGGUGUGCUAGCAACAGGAGGGAUUGACUCUAACAUUAAACUGGAAUUUAGCAUGUACAGUACAUUAUCGAGAGAAAGAAAUAAGAACAAAUGAGACUGUUAUUAUCUUUUAUUAUUAUCUUUUAAUUCCCCCCAUUUUCCUUCUGUAUGCUCACUCUCUCAGCCCUCUCUCUUUCAAUAAUUACAAUAAUCAACUUACAAUGAUAACAGAAAUAAUCUCCUGCAAGAUAGCUAAACAAACCACACGUUAUCUGUACUCAACUGUGCUCACUUACAAUAGGUAUAUCACUUAUGGAAAAGCCAAUAAAGUUUUAAUUAAAAAAGCGUGUAGGUUGUCAGUUAAGAUGCAAAAGAGUGUGGAAAUAAAUGCAAAGUGGCCUAUAAAUUGCUUGGUAUUUGAGAGAACGGGUAGGAGGGCAAAACCACCCCAAACAAAACCAAACCAAAUGAAACCCUCCAGGUCUGAGGAACUCUAUUUAUGUUGCUCUAUACAGAGCACUAAUUGCCUGGGAAUUCAAAAGAAGGGGGAAGGGAGAAUCCUCCCUUGAGCGACAAUCACAUCCACCCACCUCCGUCAGCACUGGUAGCAAGCGCGGAAAAGUUAAUUAAAGAUUUUGCAUCUCACAACCGCAGCGCUGGAUUGAUAGCUCUGGAACCUGAGAUAAACGAAAGCUCUCCCACACUGUAUCACCAAUACGCCUCCAACCUUACCCUGGAGGCACCACCUCUGGGGAUUACAUGUUUGGUUUCCCUGGUAUAUGCAGGGCCUGGCCUCUGCUAAGACUGAAAGAGGACUGACAGAUGCAAACUGAUAUGUAGGUGUUCAUCUCGCAAGUGCAGGUCUGCAUUCCUGUGGCAGAAGUCAUGGUGGCCUGAGAAGGCUUCAGUAUUUCUGUGCUGGCUGUUCUAAACAUGCCAAAAGAGUGUCACAUGAAGGCUAUUUGGCACAGAAACCACAGAAAGAAAGAAUUGGUGCACAGGUGCUGUGAAUGUGAAACAGUUCUUCAGCUGACCAAAGUGGAAGGUCUGCUGGAGCCUAUUGCAAAAUGAAGAAAGUCUACAGUUCACAACGUGUAGUUCCCCGAGUUUGCCUUGCUCCCCGUAGUCUUCAUCUCUUUUGGUUCUGGUGUGAGAUCUAGGCUUGGUCUGCUUCAAUCACUUCUUGGAAGACUCCAAGCUCUGUUGCUGCCAGUUAUCAGUGGGAGGAGAUUUCAGCAGCAAUGGGAAGAUCAGCGUGGGUCAAUGGUUAUGCUGUGUACAGCUCUCCCUCAGUGAGUGAGCAAAUGCCUCCUGGGAUUGUAU